rnacentral:rRNA from 1 species
UACGGAGGGUGCGAGCGUUAAUCGGAAUUACUGGGCGUAAAGCGCACGUAGGCGGUCAGGCAAGUCGGGUGUGAAAGCCCUGGGCUCAACCUGGGAAUUGCAUUCGAAACUAUCUGACUCGAGUAUGGGAGAGGGAAGCGGAAUUUCCGGUGUAGCGGUGAAAUGCGUAGAUAUCGGAAGGAACACCAGUGGCGAAGGCGGCUUCCUGGACUCAUACUGACACUGAGGUGCGAAAGCGUGGGGAGCAAACAGG